CAGAUCGACGCACUCGCUCACACAAGGACGUGUCUGAUUGGUCGAAAUGAGAGGACGCCAACAUGGCGCGACCAAUCACAGCCAUUGGUAGAAGUUUCGUAUUACUUCGAAACUUUAAUACUAAUCGUAAGGGAAAGACACGUGCAUAACGGACGAAGUUUCGAAGAGAAAUGAUACACUGCGUCACAGAUCGACGCACUCGCUCACACAAGGACGUGUCUGAUUGGUCGAAAUGAGAGGACGCCAACAUGGCGCGACCAAUCACAGCCAUCGGUAGAAGUUUCGUAUUACUUCGAAACUUUAAUACUAAUCGUAAGGGAAAGACACGUGCAUAACGGACGAAGUUUCGAAGAGAAAUGAUACACUGCGUCACAGAUCGACGCACUCGCUCACACAAGGACGUGUCUGAUUGGUCGAAAUGACAGGACGCCAACAUGGCGCGACCAAUCGCAGCCGUUGGUAGAAGUUUCGAAACUGUAAUGCUAAUCGUAAUGGAAACGUUCAUACAAUAUAUAUCAGCGAAGAAAUCGAAUAAUCCACUUUUUUC